rnacentral:lncRNA from 1 species
AAAUUAUAUGAACAAUCAAUUUAUUUCAAUUAAUACUUGAUCCAAUAUUUAUUAUAUUUAUUAUUUCAAUUUAUGGUGCAUUCAUAAGUUUUUAGCCGUUGGAUGAAAGGAUGUGCCGUUAAGAUGAUAAUAGUGGUUCCUUAAGGGCAUGUUUGUUUCAAUGUAAGUAGACUUGGGGUGGAAGUGGACUUUGGGUUGAAGUAGAGUUGGGGUGAAAAUUAGUUCACUUCUGCUGUUUGUUUCUAACUGUGGAAGUACAGUUCUGCGAGUUUCGUUGUUUGUUUGGUAGGAAGUAAAUGACGUAAAAAGUGUAGCUCUCCACCCCCGGUAUACUUACCUCCAAAGUAAUAUUAUUGUCUAUUUUAUAACUUAUAGUGAAUAAUAAAUUAUAAUAAAUAAAAAUUAAUAUAAUUAUUUAUGUAUAUAAUUAUAUAUAUGUAUAAUUAUAAAAUAAAAUUUUAAAAAAUUAUAUUAUUUGUUUGCAUAUAAAUUAUAAUAAUGCAACAAAUAAAAUUCUAAAGUUAAAAAAUUAUUAACAUUUAACAAAUUUAUUUUUCAUCAUUUUCUAAAUAUACAAAUUAAACAAAAAAUAUAUUAGCUUACCUAAUUAAAUUUGAUCAUAUUUUAGACAUACAAUCAAAAUAAAAAAUUUAAUUAUUUUCACAAUUGAAUAUAUUUGGAUGAAAUGAAGAGGUAACCCUAACACAUUAAUCCAUUCUUGCCUUUUUUUCACUUCACCGAAAUUGACUUCGCCCCAUGGGAGGGCGAAGUCAAGUUCCUUAUUUUGGGUGAACUGAACUUUCGGGCGUAAUAAACUUACGGUGAACCAAACAGCGGAAGUGGUUAAUUUUCACCGAAAAUCACUUUCCCCGUCCCACUUCCACCCCACUUCCAUCGAAACAAACAGGCCCUAAGGGCUAGUGUUGAGUGGGUGGUUGAUUAAAUAGUAUGAUUUAACGGAUGAAAAUAGUCAAAAAGUUAGAUCUAACGGUUGAAAAUUUUUAAAUACAAAGAGGUUUAUACUCAGAAGAGUAUAGUAACUGAACUCUCUCUCUCUCUCUCUCUCUCUCUCUCUCUAUAUAUAU